UAGAGAUGUCUAUUUGAGUGA
rnacentral:siRNA from 1 species